rnacentral:rRNA from 1 species
UACGUAGGGUGCGAGCGUUGUCCGGAAUUACUGGGCGUAAAGAGCUCGUAGGUGGUUUGUCGCGUUGUCCGUGAAAACUCAACAACUCAAUUGUGGGCGUGCGGGCGAUACGGGCAGACUGGAGUACUGCAGGGGAGACUGGAAUUCCUGGUGGUAGCGGUGGAAUGCGCAGAUAUCAGGAGGAACACCGGUGGCGAAGGCGGGUCUCUGGGCAG